GACGAACGCUGGCGGCGUGCUUAACACAUGCAAGUCGAACGGAAAGGCCCUGCUUUUGUGGGGUGCUCGAUUGGCGAACGGGUGAGUAACACGUGAGUAACCUGCCCUUGACUUUGGGAUAACUUCAGUAAACUGGGGAUAAUACCGGAUAGGAGCUCCUGCUGCAUGGUGGGGGUUGGAAAGUUUCGGCGGUUGGGGAUGGACUCGCGGCUUAUCAGCUUGUUGGUGGGGUCGUGGCUUACCAAGGCUUUGACGGGUAGCCGGCCUGAGAAGGUGACCGGCCACAUUGGGACUGAGAUACGGCCCAGACGCCGACGGGAGGAAGCAGUGGGGAAUAGUGCACAAUGGGCGGAAGCCUGAUGCAGCAACGACGCGUGCGGGAUGACGGCCUUCGGGUUGUAAGCCGCUAUCGACUGUGACGAAGCGUGAGUGACGGUAAUUGGUAAAGAAGCACCGGCUAACUACGUG
rnacentral:rRNA from 1 species